rnacentral:rRNA from 1 species
GAUGAACGCUGGCGGCGUGCCUAAUACAUGCAAGUCGAGCGAACAGACGAGGAGCUUGCUCCUUUGACGUUAGCGGCGGACGGGUGAGUAACACGUGGAUAACCUACCUAUAAGACUGGGAUAACUUCGGGAAACCGGAGCUAAUACCGGAUAACAUGUUGAACCGCAUGGUUCAACAGUGAAAGACGGUCUUGCUGUCACUUAUAGAUGGAUCCGCGCCGCAUUAGCUAGUUGGUAAGGUAACGGCUUACCAAGGCAACGAUGCGUAGCCGACCUGAGAGGGUGAUCGGCCACACUGGAACUGAGACACGGUCCAGACUCCUACGGGAGGCAGCAGUAGGGAAUCUUCCGCAAUGGGCGAAAGCCUGACGGAGCAACGCCGUGUGAGUGAAGAAGGUCUUCGGAUCGUAAAACUCUGUUAUUAGGGAAGAACAAAUGUGUAAGUAACUAUGCACGUCUUGACGGUACCUAAUCAGAAAGCCACGGCUAACUACGUG